rnacentral:miRNA from 1 species
GGAAACUCAUCAGGCAA